AGUCGAACGGCAGCACAGUAAGAGCUUGCUCUUAUGGGUGGCGAGUGGCGGACGGGUGAGGAAUACAUCGGAAUCUACCUUUUCGUGGGGGAUAACGUAGGGAAACUUACGCUAAUACCGCAUACGACCUUCGGGUGAAAGCAGGGGACCUUCGGGCCUUGCGCGGAUAGAUGAGCCGAUGUCGGAUUAGCUAGUUGGCGGGGUAAAGGCCCACCAAGGCGACGAUCCGUAGCUGGUCUGAGAGGAUGAUCAGCCACACUGGAACUGAGACACGGUCCAGACUCCUACGGGAGGCAGCAGUGGGGAAUAUUGGACAAUGGGCGCAAGCCUGAUCCAGCCAUACCGCGUGGGUGAAGAAGGCCUUCGGGUUGUAAAGCCCUUUUGUUGGGAAAGAAAAGCAGUCGGCUAAUACCCGGUUGUUCUGACGGUACCCAAAGAAUAAGCACCGGCUAACUUCGUGCCAGCAGCCGCGGUAAUACGAAGGGUGCAAGCGUUACUCGGAAUUACUGGGCGUAAAGCGUGCGUAGGUGGUUGUUUAAGUCUGUUGUGAAAGCCCUGGGCUCAACCUGGGAAUUGCAGUGGAUACUGGGCGACUAGAGUGUGGUAGAGGGGUAGUGGAAUUUCCGGUGUAGCAGUGAAAUGCGUAGAGAUCGGGAGGAACAUC
rnacentral:rRNA from 1 species